ACGUCCGAGGAGCGUUGCGACAAAAUGAACAGGCCCUGCCUUGCGCAGACAUAUUCUUGUUCUCUUUUUGCCAGGCUCGGAUUUCCAUCAAAACGGCGCUCACGUUAC
rnacentral:ncRNA from 2 species